rnacentral:misc_RNA from 1 species
GGGGGAAACAAAUCUCACUCACCAACAUCAAGCCCCAGAGAGCCAACCUUUACCCAAAUAGUCCUUUGAGGACGCAUCUUAAAGGCAAAAACCCUGUAUAAACAACACAUACAGAAGAAGAAAAGCAAGGAGAAAAACCACGGCACAGCAUAAAAGUAAAAACGGAUCCCUCAUGCAACCCUCUCCGUGUGAACCUCAGAUUUGUGGAUCCAAACACACAAGCCAAAAGUUAUAUAUUUCUCUACCCGGUGAGGUGAGGGUUCAACCCUUCAACCGAGCAUGGAGGAGGAGCUCCCCCUCGC